rnacentral:misc_RNA from 1 species
AACAAGGCGUACCUGCGGACCUGCGGAAGGAUCAUUAUUGAAUUUUCCCAAGAAAAAUGUUGUGCUGUGCCCUUCUUUUGAAGGGGGGAACAGUGCAAUGUUUUUCUCAAACAAACAAUCACAACUAACAAGGAAAUUGAUUUGGAUGGUUUGGAAACAAACAAGUGUUUGCCUGAUAAUCAAGAUGAUUUGGAUUGAAGAAAGAAAUACAACUUUUAACAACGGAUCUCAGAUCGGAAG